rnacentral:rRNA from 1 species
UACGAAGGGGGCUACCGUUGCUCGGAAUGACUGGGCGUAAAGGGCGCGUAGGCGGUGCAUUGGUCAGGCGUGAAAUUCCUGGGCUUAACCUGGGGACUGCGCUUGAGACGGGUGUGCUGGAGGGCAGGAGAGGCUCGGCGGAAUUCCCAGUGUAGAGGUGAAAUUCGUAGAUAUUGGGAAGAACACCGGUGGCGAAGGCGGCGAGCUGGCCUGUACCUGACGCUGAGGCGCGACAGCGUGGGGAGCAAACAGG